GUGCCACAGUUACACAAGCAGAGAGAACUGAGAUGAGGAAGAUGGUGGUGGGUGAAGAGACUUGCACAAAGUAGCCCAUCAGGGCAGAAGCAGAGGUAAUGGAGUUAAGAUGUCCCGAUGGAGACUUAAUAUUCCCUGAUGGACUGGGAAGGUCCACAUGCUUGAGUAGACUCUACAUGUUGGGAGCGUUCUGCUAUAUGGUUCGAUGGACCUUCACUUCCCAAAGGUGGCGAAGCAGCGUGGUGGCCCAUCCUCUGCCCAGAGAGCACGGUGACGUUUGCGUAACGUCCUACAGCUUCCGCUCAAAGUUAAUCUUUGCUCAAGAGGGGGACGUGCUGAUAAGACAUCUUCCUCUGAGAGCUGGGGUUUCAAAAAAAUCAGCAGUUUCACUCCUGUGAUUUUUGUAGUUCGUCUUCUGGAAGGUAUGUGUGGAAGAGAAAUGAUAAAGUAUUAAGACCAAAGAAGACAGAAGCCCAGAGGGGAAAAAGAUGAGCAAGUCAGAAUCUGAAACAACACAGUCAGGAAACACAGAUGAUGUGGUUUCUGUAAGAAGCUUGUUUGUUGAGUUAGAGGGGAAGGGAAUUUGUAUAUGCAUAGCUGCAGUUUAAUUAACUGUAAGAAUCACUGUGUAUGUGCAAAAAUGCAGAUUAAUUUGUUGGAUAUUUUAUGUCAUAUUAUAUUGGAUAUUAUACGAUAGAGGGAUAUACUAUUGUGGAUUUUAUAUGUGUAUGUCCCCAAAACUAUGUGCAUAAGGUGGCAGAGGAGCUUGAUAGAGAAGGAUCUGUGUAUGGAAAGUGGAAAGUGAUGGAAUAAAUACGUUUUUUACUACAUCAAAUGAUUCAACUGGGUCUGUGGUUUUUAAAGUUGCAUUUCUAACCCUUCCCUAUAGGUAAGAAACACUUGAAGAUUGGACCUAGCUUCAGAAAUGGUCCCCUAAUGGAAAGGUCUGUAAAAGUUAAGGAUGAUUUUUUUUUUCAGUUGUCUAAAUUUUCCCUCUGGACCCCCCCUGCACCAGGGAAGCACGUGCAACUGGAGCUCAGCAGCUGCUGCAUUUUGAGAUCAGUAUGUGGGGAUGCUAUUGCUCCUGUCCCACCAAAGGUGUCAGGAGCUUGGUGUCGCUUUCCCCGUCUUCUUGCUUUUUCUUGCUUCUUGCCUGCUCAGUCAAUCAGCAGAGGAUCAAGCAAGUGGCAAUGUGGGAAGUGCUUUAACUUGGUGGGACACCUGGGCCGGAACAAUCCUCGCCACCAAUACAAACUAGGGGGUGAGGUAUUGGAAAGCAGCCCUGAGGAAAGGGACUUGGGGGUGCU